rnacentral:rRNA from 1 species
AUGACUCUUCUCAAGGAGAAAGUCUUGAAGGGCAUAGUAUUAAGGCGGACAAAAAUUGGCCGAGCUGCAGAUCUUGCUCUUCCACCGAAGACUGUGACAUUGAGGCAGGACUCUUUUGAUAGAAAUGAAAUGGGGUUUUAUGAAGCAUUAUAUACUCGAAGCUGCACGCAGUUUGAUUCGUAUGUUGUUGCUGGAACGUUGCUGAACAACUAUGCCCAUAUCUUUGACCUCCUCACAAGGUUGAGACAGGCUGUUGAUCAUCCAUACCUUGUUGCAUUUUCCAAGACAGCAGAAUCUCGGGAAGGAUGCAAAAAUCAACAAAAUGGUGCCAUGGAAAGCCAGUGUGGAAUAUGUCAUGAAUUGGCAGAAGAUGUGGUGGUUACGUCUUGCGAUCAUGUAUUCUGCAAGAGUUGUUUGAUGGAGUGCUCUGCAACUUUGGGGAAUGUUUCAUGUCCAUCUUGUUCAAAGCCUCUUACUGUUGACUUAACAACGGAAAAUUCGAGACGAAAGGUCCCUGCAAAUUUGAAGGGUGGCAAACGCUCAGGAAUACUGGGCAGACUACAAAGCCUAGCAGAUUUCAAGACAAGUACAAAAAUUGAUGCAUUGAGAGAAGAGAUAAGGAACAUGAUUGAGCAUGAUGGUUCUGCAAAAGGGAUUGUUUUCAGCCAGUUCACAUCGUUCUUGGAUUUGAUUGAAUUCUCCCUGCAGAGGUCUGGCAUCAAGUGUGUGCAACUUAAUGGGAAAAUGAACAUGGCGGAAAAGGGGAGAGCUAUAGAUACCUUCAUAAAUGACCCAGAUUGCAGGAUUUUCCUGAUGAGCCUGAAAGCUGGAGUGGCUCUUAAUCUUACUGUAGCAUCUCAAGUUUUCUUGAUGGAUCCUUGGUGGAAUCCAGCAGUGGAGAGUCAAGCGCAGGAUCGAAUCCACCGAAUCGGACAAUUCAAGCUAAUUAGAAGCACGAGGUUUGUGAUCAAGGACACAGUUGAAGAGCGCAUCCUGCAACUGCAAGAGAAGAAGCAGCUUGUGUUCGAUGGCACCGUGGGUGACUCGCCAGAGGCCAUGUCAAAGCUUACAGAGGCUGACCUCAGGUUCCUGUUCCAGAACUAG